GUUAAAGCCUCGUUAAUUUAUAAGUCUGAUAAGUCAUUUAAGCUCCAGAUAUAUAUAAUUUAAAAUGUAGACACCCAGACAAUAUAAUGCAUGUAUUAGGUAGGUUCAUAAAUAGCUCAAUGUCAAGUGCCAAAUAAGUCAAGAUGUAGUCGUCAGCGCCCUCUUGUGGACAAUGAAUCAGUGUUGUUCAGAUCAUGAGCUCGUGGUGUUCAGUCGCAGAUGACUUCUGUUGGAAUGGAUCUACACUGAUGUCUGUUUUAGUACUCCAGUCCUGGGGACCAACAGAGCUCCACAUUUUACAUGUCUCUCUUAUCAAAUACACACAGGUUCCUGAAAACAGGUUGUGAAUCAGGCCCCGUAUUCACAGAAUCUUUUAUCUUCUCCUCAACAUCAGAAAAAAAUUUAAGCUAAGAGUUUCUUUUACAACUUAUUCACAAAGCUGCAGAUUUAAAAGUUUAAGCUAAGAAUGAGGGCGGGUUCAGCUCAUUGCUAUGGAUGAUGUCAGCAUGCUUAUUAACUAUGCACACAGUGACUGGAUGAUAAGCAGGUGAGGAGUCUCUGUCAGAAAUGUGUUGAUAGACACUUUGCAGAGGACAAUAUCAUGUAGCCAUGUUCAAAUAAAGGUUUUAAAAUGCA